UACGAAGGGGGCUAGCGUUGUUCGGAAUCACUGGGCGUAAAGAGUACGCAGGCGGAUUGUUAAGUCAGGGGUGAAAUCCCGAGGCUCAACCUCGGAACUGCCUUUGAUACUGGCAAUCUUGAGUCCGGGAGAGGUGAGUGGAACUCCUAGUGUAGAGGUGAAAUUCGUAGAUAUUAGGAAGAACACCAGUGGCGAAGGCGACUUACUGGACACAUAUUGACGCUGAGGUGCGAAAGCGUGGGGAGCAAACAGG
rnacentral:rRNA from 1 species